GAACAUCGGUGAAACGUCAUCACGACCAAAUUAUUGAUCUAGUUGGCAGCACGGUUUCAAACGACGCAACGGUAUUAUGCAAAAUUCGACCAUUUUGUUCAUUUUUACUACGCACUCGUGAUGUCGUUCCGCAAUAGACUCGAAACAAUGUGUGGUGGCUGUAAUGUAAAUUGUAGUGCAUUGCUAUUCGCAAAUUUGUAUUUAGUACAGAAAAAAAACCAAACAAAAAGAUGAAAAUGAUUUAUUGAAUUUAGGGGAUUUCACCGAUUACCGUUAUUUAUAAAUCUGGUAUGGUUCAAUGAAUGAAUAUUCGUGAGCAAGACAAAAUCUUUCGGAAUAACAUUGACCAGCAGUAUCAUCACCGUUUGACGUACCUCCUCCCCUUGUGUUUCAUACGCACAUGCUUUAGUUAGAGAAUUCCCGAGGAAUGCGUCAUUUACUUAGUAGCGUCUGUUCUCCAUAUUAGUAGCGGCUCUAAAUCCCCCCGCCCCUCUCCCCCCUGCCAUUCCUCAAGGAUUGUUCUUGUUAUUCUCGUCUUGACUUGCUGCAGGGACUAUAAACAGUUAGUUAGCGAUGGCCCCACGACGAUACUGGAGGUGGAAGAGAGGCCUUACAAGCUACCUUAGCGAAACCACAAGCAACAAACCCUCAAUAAGCAAUAGACACUCGCAGGAAAAAGGACUUAAAGAAGAACGAUGAAAAGGUAUUGGAACUAUAGAAAUUGCAAGAACUACUAGUGGAGGGUGAUUUAGCUUUCAUGUGCGAUGGUGAUGGCGAUGAUGCUAUGUGCGUAGUUUAGGGGAGGGGCCUUGCAAGCAACCCUCGUUACAAUUUCACCGCAACGAACAGUCAACGAGAAGAAGAAUAUCUGAUCUAUUGAUUCAGACCCUCACCAGGAAAAAGGAUUAUCGAUUGGAAGCU